rnacentral:rRNA from 1 species
AUGGGUAAUGAGAUGGGCAACAACAACGUUAUCGGUCAACAAGAGGAGAGUGCUAAGGAUUUCGACAAAACCAUGGCCAACGCAGAUUAUUCACAUGAGCUCAACAACAUAAAUAGUGAGAAAGAUACGGAGAAGGAUGGCACUAAGGAUGUAGAUAUGCUGGAGGUAUUAAAGGCCCCCUUCAUCUCUAGUAGUGGAGAUAAGAAAAUGGCUUCAGAUCAAACAAAAUUGUCCGCUGCAAAUGAAAGCUUAGAUGAGAAGAAUAGGGUCUCACCUCUGGAUCACACAUCAACAGAAGAUGAUGAUGGGAAUAAAAACUUACCUACAGAACAAGAUAAGGAGAAGGAUGGCACUAAGCAUGUAGAUAUGUCAGAGGUGUUAAAGGCCCCUGUCAUUUUUAAUGGUGGAGAUGAUCAAAUGGCUUCAGAUCAAAGAAAAAUCUCUGCUGCAAAUGAAGACAUCGAUGAGAAGAACAGGGGCUCACUUGAGGAUCAUACAUCAACACAGGAUGAUGAUGGAAACAGUAACUUACCUACAGAACAAGGUGAUGAAACACAGGAGGACAAUGGAACUGAAACAGCCACAAAUUCUGCAGAAACAGUUGCCCAUGUCGGCACCACAACUGAAGAUAUAACAAGCAACAAGGAUACUUCAUCAUCUGAUGAGCAAUUCAGACAACUUGAGCACGAAACUACAGAGAAAAAUGAAGAAAAUACCACUGCAAAUCCCGCCAUGUUGUUAGAGGAAAACAUUGAAGGUCUGCCAGAACACAAGGAGGAAUCUUGUACUCAAGAAGUUGCAGGGGCGAGUGAUAAUGUAGUUGGAGGAGAUACAGUUGAAAACCUAGAAGGACAAAACGGAGUGUCAACAGUGGUGGGUGAUAAUCUAGUUGGAGAGACUACAUCAUCAACUGAAUCAAUUAUCAGUGGUUAUCUUGAUGACGAGAGUAAGGAGGUUGUCGUCGACGAUGAGCCUAGAGAAAGAGAAAAUUCGUCAUAUGUAGGACCAGAAGGCGACACCAACCAAGAAACAUUCCAGAAUGAAGAGAAGCAAGAAAUCUGUGAGAUAGGCAAAAUCAAUACCUGUAAAACUAUAACAGAAGAUACUGUGGUUGAAAGUGCUGAAGUGCUAGAAGAAGACAAGAAGAUCCAAGGAUUGGAAAAUCAGGAGGAAGAAUUCCCCAAAUGUAGUAAAUAUGGUGCUCUUCAUAAUGUUGAAGCCGUUUCCCAAUUUCAGUCAGCUUUAGCACACCCCAGUGCAGCAAGUGGCAAAGAAUUUCAGAAACAUGAACUGAGUAUAGCAGAACGGAUGUCGGAUUCUGUAAGUGUAGCAAUGGAGCACAAUGUAAUUAAAACAGCAGAGAAAGAGCAAGGGGGAAUUGUUGAAAAGGAUGUUGCAGACAAGAAUGAAGAAGAUAAUUUUGAAGGGGAUCAGAAAUCUGAUGGUAUGUCAGAGGUGUUAAAGGACCCUGUCAUUUCUAACGGUGGAAAUGAUCAAAUGGCUUCAGAUCAAACAAAAACCUCUGUUGGAAAUGAAGACUUAGAUGAGAAGAACAGGGACUCACUUCAGGAUCAUACAUCAACACAAGAUGAUGAUGGAAAUAGUAACCUACCUACAGAACAAGGAGAUGAAUCACAAGAGGACAGUGGAACUGAAACAACCACAGAUGGUACAGAAAAAGUUGCCCCUGUCGGCACCACAACUGAAGACAUGACAAGUAGCAAUGAUACAUCACCAUCUGAUGAGCAAUUCAAACAAGUUGUACACAAAACGACGGAGACAAGUGAAGAAAGUACCAUACCAAAUCCCCUCACAUUGUUAGAGGGAAUUAUUGAAAGUGCGCCACAAGAUGGGGAGGAAUAUUGCAGUCAAGAAGCUGCAGUGGUGGAUGAUAAUCUAGUUGGAGAAGAUACAGUUGAAAGCCUAGAAGAAAGACAAGCUGGAGCGUCGGCAGUAGAGGAUCUAUGGACACCAUCGUCGGUACAAGGAGAGGAUACAUCAUCAACUGAAUCAAUUAUCACUGCUUAUCAUGAUGAUGACACCAACCAAGAAACAUCCAAGAAUGAAGAGAAGCAGGAAAUCUGUGAAAUGGCCAAAAGCAAUAGCUGCAAAACCAUAACAGUAGAUGCUGUGAUUGAAAAUGAUGAAGUGCUAGAAGAAGACAAGAUCCAAGGAUUAGAAAAUCAGCAGGAAGAAUUUCCCAAAUGUAGUGCAUAUGGUGCUCUCCACAUUGUUGAAGCUGUUUCCCAAUUUCAGUCAGCUUUAGCAGAUCCCAGUGCAACAAAUGGCAAAGAAUUUCAGAAACAUGAACUGAGUAUAGCAGAACAGAUGUCAGAUUCUGUAAAUGCAGCAAUGGAGCACAAUGUAAUUGAAACAGCAGAGAAAGAGCAAGGGGGAAUUGUUGACAAAGAUGUCGCAGACAAUAAUGAACCAGAUAAUUUUGAAGGGGAUAAGAAAUCUGAUGGUAUCCAAGACUCUGUCGGUCUUGUUAUGGUCCAUGGAGAAGAUUUUACAGGUUUAGACCCGCUAUUAUCUGGCCCUCUUCCUAUUUUGAAUAAAGAAAAGGUACAUGAAGAAGUCAUCAUAGAAGAAUUACCUGCACCAAUAACUGCAACAUCAUUUGCUCUUCAACCAGUAGAAGAUUUUGUCAAGAAAGAUAUUAAACCUGAUAGCUCAGACAGUAAUGAAGGAACCACCACCUCCACAUAUGAAGCAAAGACUAUAGAUACACAAGAAACCAUGAACAGCUCACAGUGUGAUCAGCCUCAACAGUUACUGCUUGAAGAACCUGAAGUUGUCAAGUUUGAAAACAGUGAGACUCUGAGCACCUGCAUGAAGCUGGUGGAAUGCAGUUCAGCGACAGAAUUGAUCUUCCCUAAUGUAUUCAACAAGGAGAGACAAGGCACAUCUGAUAAAGCCACAUGUUUUACUUCUGAAUCCAAUCAGGAGAAAGUCACAGGGACUGUAGGCUUUGCUGCUGAAUCGGAACAGAAGAAAGUUAUUGCAAAUGCUGAUGAUUCUAGUGAGGAACAGUGUCUGCUUCAGAAACCAACUCUAGGGGCAGAUGUGGGUGAAGAGACUCCAUUACUUCUGAGUACAGAAAGCAUCAACUCUUCAAGUUAUUCUAGUGAACAGCACAGCAAAGUAGUCAAGGACAUCCCCAUGACCAACAUCACCCUGAUGCAAGCCAAAGAUGAAGCUGUGGAAGAAUCUGAGAAAAGUCCACUGUUGAGCCCUAGGGAGCCAUCAGAAGGAGCCUUCAGAGCGCCAAAUCACUCUGCAAGAAACAAUAAACCACUUCGUAGCUUAAUGACGGAGGACGGCAUUGGAACGUGGUCGCCAUUGAAGGAACAAGAACCGGUUCGAAAGAACAGCACCACGGUUAGUUCUCCUAGAAGCAAAGAAAAGCAGAAGCCAAAGUCAUCCCUUUUUGCCAUUUGCAUGUGCUGCACCACAGCUACGAACUGA